AUACGUAGGGGGCGAGCGUUGUCCGGAAUGAUUGGGCGUAAAGGGCGCGUAGGCGGUCCGGUAAGUCUGGAGUGAAAGUCCUGUUUUUAAGAUGGGAAUUGCUUUGGAUACUGUCGGGCUUGAGUGCAGGAGAGGUAAGUGGAAUUCCCAGUGUAGCGGUGAAAUGCGUAGAGAUUGGGAGGAACACCAGUGGCGAAGGCGACUUACUGGACUGUAACUGACGCUGAGGCGCGAAAGUGUGGGGAGCAAACAGGAUUAGAUACCCUGGUAGUCCACACUGUAAACGAUGAAUGCUAGGUGUAGGGGGUAUCGACCCCUUCUGUGCCGCAGUCAACACAAUAAGCAUUCCGCCUGGGGAGUACGGCCGCAAGGUUGAAACUCAAAUGAAUUGACGGGG
rnacentral:rRNA from 1 species